UACGUAGGGGGGCAAGCGUUGUCCGGAAUCAUUGGGCGUAAAGAGCGUGUAGGCGGCCCGGUAAGUCCGCUGUGAAAGUCCAGGGCUCAACCCUGGGAUGCCGGUGGAUACUGUCGGGCUCGAGUCCGGAAGAGGAGUGUGGAAUUCCUGGUGUAGCGGUGAAAUGGCGCAGAUAUCAGGAGGAACACCAAUGGCGAAGGCAGCACUCUGGGACGUGACUGACGCUGAGACGCGAAAGCGUGGGGAGCAAACAGG
rnacentral:rRNA from 1 species